rnacentral:rRNA from 1 species
CACGUAGGGUGCGAGCGUUUGUCCGGAAUUAUUGGGCGUAAAGAGCUCGUAGGCGGUGUGUCGCGUCGGCCGUGAAAACCUGCAGCUUAACUGUGGGCUUGCGGUCGAUACGGGCAUCACUGGAGUUCGGCAGGGGAGACUGGAAUUCCUGGUGUAGCGGUGAAAUGCGCAGAUAUCAGGAGGAACACCGGUGGCGAAGGCGGGUCUCUGGGCCGAUACUGACGCUGAGGAGCGAAAGCGUGGGGAGCAAACGGG